rnacentral:rRNA from 1 species
UACAGAGGGGGCGAGCGUUGUUCGGAAUUACUGGGCGUAAAGGGCGCGUAGGCGGCCCGCUAAGUCGAACGUGAAAUCCCCAGGCUCAACCUGGGAACUGCGUCCGAUACUGGCAGGCUUGAAUCCGGGAGAGGGAUGUGGAAUUCCAGGUGUAGCGGUGAAAUGCGUAGAUAUCUGGAGGAACACCGGUGGCGAAGGCGGCAUCCUGGACCAGUAUUGACGCUGAGGCGCGAAAGCUAGGGGAGCAAACGGG